AAAGAAAAAACCCUGCAGAAAUUAAUCUGCAGGGUCCUUCUAUAUCCUUAACCAAGGAUAGAAGGCAAAGGGAGAGGAGAAACCGGAGGAAGAACUUAUGGGGAAACGUAAGUCUUCUCCGCGG
rfam:Bacillus sp. MTM 116 46, whole genome shotgun sequence.